rnacentral:tRNA from 1 species
CGCGGGAUAGCUCAGUCGUAGAGCGCUAGGUUCAUACCCCAGAGGUCACGGGUUCAAUCCCCGUUCCCGCAACCA